AAACGAAAUCCGAAGAUGGACAGUUCAUCUUUGCCAUAAUUUUUCUCUCCAUUUUUGUUCAAUCGAACCCUCAAUCUUCUCUGGUCAGAACUCUGCACCAGAUUUGCCGUUCAGUCCGGCUCCAGGUUCAACCUUGUGAAACCAAAAGAUUGAAUCAAUAAACGCCUCUCUUAUCUCAAAUCGAGCCCCAAACUGACAUUGAAGGUCUCUUCUUCGAUAGUCUGCAAAGCUGUGUUUGUGAAGCCCCAAACUGACAUUGAAGGCCUCAACAUUGCCGAUGAUGUCUCUCAGGGCUGUUGCUGUUGCAACUGGGCCAUCUUCACCUAUCUCAGAUGGUGGGCCCCCUUCAUAUGAAAAUCAAGAGAGGACUGAAGUAGAUACUUUUGAUGGAAGUGCCAGUCUUAUUCAGCACAAUGGUAGGCUGAGGC